rnacentral:lncRNA from 1 species
UGGGUUCGGAUUCUCCCGCAACUCUGCAGAAACAAUUAUAGAAAGAUAAAAAGUAGCAUACUUAUUUUAAGAAGCAGAGAAAGUUAAAACUUUUCAUAUAAAAGAAUGUUAUCUAUAGCAAAAGUAGAAUCAACAACAGUAUCUGCACUUACAUACUUAUUUAAGUAGACCACCUAUUUCUUUCUUUAGCCAAUAGUUUCUCAGAUUAAAUCUUCAUUUUUAAUUAUUUUACUUGAUUUCUUUUUGUUUUUUUAUUUCAGACCCUACUUCUAUCUAUAGGAUUUGGACUGAUUAUAAAAGAUUUCCUUUGUAUAACGAGUAAUAAUACAGGAAAAAAAAACAAGGAUCAAUAAAUGACAAAAUUAACUAGACUCCAAGAUAAAGAAAGAACAAAGCUCUUUUGUUUGGUAUGUAACAACCACACAACCGACAAAUUACAAAUCCACAAAAUUUAAAACUUCAAACAUCAAUUCAAAAAGGCACCUGGAUUCUGAACAGAGGAAACAAAUGAUAUCACGGUAGUUGACGGAGGAAUAGCAGCAGGGGUUAAAGUCGUUGGAGCUGCAGGCGGAGGAAGAGCUGGUGGUAGUGGUUGAGACUCGGCGGCAGGUGGAGACGCCAUCGGUGUAGGUGGUGGUGGUGAUGAUGAAGCAGCAAUAGCUUGUGUCUUAGGUUCCUCAUUAGUAACAUUAGGAGGUUU